CCUACGGGGGGCAGCAGUGGGGAAUAUUGGACAAUGGACCAAGAGUCUGAUCCAGCAAUUCUGUGUGCACGAUGAAGUUUUUCGGAAUGUAAAGUGCUUUCAGUUGGGAAGAAAAGAAUGACGGUACCAACAGAAGAAGUGACGGCUAAAUACGUGCCAGCAGCCGCGGUAAUACGUAUGUCACGAGCGUUAUCCGGAUUUAUUGGGCGUAAAGCGCGUCUAGGUGGUUAUGUAAGUCUGAUGUGAAAAUGCAGGGCUCAACUCUGUAUUGCGUUGGAAACUGUGUAACUAGAGUACUGGAGAGGUAAGCGGAACUACAAGUGUAGAGGUGAAAUUCGUAGAUAUUUGUAGGAAUGCCGAUGGGGAAGCCAGCUUACUGGACAGAUACUGACGCUAAAGCGCGAAAGCGUGGGUAGCAAACAGGAUUAGAUACCCUA
rnacentral:rRNA from 1 species